rnacentral:lncRNA from 1 species
GAACUGGGGCAACAUCACAAAAUCAACAAGGAAAGCAUCUGAAAUAUCUGUAAAGGAAAAGGAAAAGGGAAGGAGGACAAUUCUUUACCAAGUUCAGUAAUACAAUAUGAAAGAGGGGCCAAAAAUUCAUAUUGAACAGGAACAAAAAUGUCUCUGAACCCCAAAAAAGUCAGCCUACAAGAACAAAUUGAGAAAAUACUAAAGCUGUGAAUACUGUAGUGGACCUCCCAAGGCUCCUGCUUAGGACCAACGCUCUGGUUUCAGUUGUCAGAAGCACUGACUGCUGGUAGGCUGGCUGCAAACACAGUCAUCCCUGGAAAUCUCCCUCAGACAGAGAGCUGCCUCACCCAAGUGAGGCCCCUUCCUGAAGGACUGACAGAGACUGUUGCCAUCUGCAUUGAAGUGCAACUUCUUCCCUUGCCUCUUCCUAAUUUUCUCACUUCCACUCUUCCUCACAGCAUUCCCAAGUAAACUUCCUUCAUGUGAAUCUUGUCACCUCAGAGUAUGUUUUGCAGGGAACCAGAACAACGAUACCUCCCUCUUUACUCCUACCUGUGUCUUGGAACAUACACAGACUACAUGUUAACUCCAUGCACGGUUAAUUGCCAAAUGACUCACAGACCGUGCGACGUCAUCAUCAGGCUGCCUGGAGAGGAUGGGAAGGAUAAAACUUCUCACAAGUUAAUGGAGACAUAGACUCUUCUACUUUCUCAAUUGAAUUCAUUUCUCACAAAUGUCACCUGUAGUUAUUUAGAUCCAAGAAAACGUCAAAAAUGGAACUACAUAUUUGUAUGUAACAAAUGAUAGUUGGUCUUUAUUAUGACAUUUAUUCACACUUGUACGUAGAAAUGGGAAAUUGUCUCAAGGUUACAUAACUCAUGAGCUGGUACUCUUCAUCUCUUUCAUGAAGACAGAUGUUUUGGGAGACUAGAAGCCAUGUAUCUCUGUUGUACCAGGUGCUGCAUAUCACCUUGUUUUAGUUAUACAUUAGAAUACUAUUGAAAACUCAUGACUCAAAUUGAUUUUGAUUUCUAAGAAAUGAUGAGGAGAACCUAAAAUUUAACCCAUUCAUUUUACCAUAAUUGAGUAUUUCUCAGAAUUUAAGCUCUUUCUCAUUAUCAGUUGUCUAUAUUUACAGGUUGUAAAACUUGAAAUACACAAGAUUUUCACAGGUGUAGGUACAAAACAGGCCAAAUUAUAAAACCAAAAGAGUUUAAAUGAACCUAUGUAAUUUAAGGUAAAUAUUAUUACCUGUUUUACCUUGGUAGUGUAUAUUGUGUGUAUUGUACAUUCCACUUUUAUAUCUCUAUAAAGACAAUAUCUUUCCUACAUAUUAAUGUAGGUAAAUAGCUAAUGUUAUACAGAGUUCAGGAGGAAUUAGAUUAUUAGAUUUCCUCCCUUGUGGAUUGUCUUAAUCUGCUGAGGCUGCUAUAACAAAUACCAUGGAAUGGGUAUCUUAAAUAAUAGAAACUGAUUUCUCACAAUUCUGGAAGGCCGCAAUCAGGGUGCCAACAUGGCUGGGUUGUGGGUUGUGCCCUUUUAUUGGUUUGUAAACAGUAUCUUCUUUUUGGAUCUUCACAUGAUGGGGGGGCAGGAAGCAAACUCUUUGUGUCUCUUGGGGUUUUUUUUGUUUGUGUUUGUUUUUGUUUUUUGUUUCAUUUUUUUUUGUUUUUUGGGUUUUUCUGUUUUUGAGGGCCGCAGGUGUGGCAUAUGGAAGUUCCCAGGCUAGGGAUCUGAGCCGUGUCUGCAACCUACACCACAGCUCACCACAACUGAGCAAGGCCAGUGAUUGAACCCACAUCUUCAUGGAUACUAGUUGGGUUCCUUACUGCUGAGCCACAGCAGGAACUCUCUUGUAAAAAAGGUGUUAAUCCCAUCAUGAGGGCUCUACCCCCAUGAGCUAAUUACUUCCCAAAGGUUCCAUCUCCAAAUAUCAUUACAUCCGCAUUAAGACUUCAACAAAGGAAUUUAGUGGGGAGACACAAAUAUUCAAUUCUUAUUUUUCACACCUAAUCAAAGAAGUACAAAUUAUGCAAUCAAAACUUAAAACUGAGUAGUUUAUAUUGUCCACAGAAUUUUAAGAGUUUAAAUCAGUAUGGAGCUUGCAUUUACAAAACAGGUAACAAAGCCCUUUGUUACCAUCAUUUCAAAAUGUAGAUAAGAAUUGUAUUUCUUAUUGGCUGCUUUUAACUUUGUUGAAGGUACAUUAAAUUAUGUUAAUGCGUCAGUGGGGAUAUAUUUUGCCUUCACUUUACUACCCAUUGAACAAUUGCUUUAUUUUUACAGAAUUACAGAUAGGAAUGGAAAAUAGGCACCCCAUAAACUAGA